rnacentral:rRNA from 1 species
UACGUAGGGUGCGAGCGUUGCCCGGAUUUAUUGGGCGUAAAGGGCGCGUAGGCGGCUCUGCACGUCCGUUGUGAAAUCGCCCGGCUCAACUGGGCGGGGUCAGCGGAUACGGCGGAGCUUGAGCAAGCUAGGGGGCAAUGGAAUUCCCGGUGUAGUGGUGGAAUGCGUAGAUAUCGGGAGGAACACCAGUGGCGAAGGCGGCUUCCUGGUCUGCGACUGACGCUGUGGCGCGAAAGCUAGGGGAGCAAUCGGG